rnacentral:rRNA from 1 species
CCUACGGGAGGCAGCAGUGAGGAAUAUUGGUCAAUGGGCGGGAGCCUGAACCAGCCAAGUCGCGUGAGGGACGACGGUCCUAUGGAUUGUAAACCUCUUUUGUCGGGGAACAAAGGCGCCCACGGGUGGGCGGAUGAGUGUACCCGAAGAAAAAGCAUCGGCUAACUCCGUGCCAGCAGCCGCGGUAAUACGGAGGAUUCAAGCGGUAUCCGGAUUUAUUAGGUUUAAAGGGUGCGUAGGCGGUUCGAUAAGUUAGAGGGGAAAUC